GCAUAAAACCACUGGCCACCUGCCGGGCUGCUCCUGCGUGAGCUGCCGUUCCGGAUCCACCGUGCCUCUGCGGCCUGCGUGCCCCCAGUCCCCGCCUGUGUCGUCUCUGUCGCCGUCCCCGCCUCCUGCCAGGCGCGGAGCCCUGCGAGCCGCGGGUGGGCCCCAGGCGCGCAGACAUGGGCUGCUCCGCCAAAGCACGCUGGGCUGCCGGGGCGCUGGGCGUCGCGGGGCUACUGUGCGCGGUGCUGGGCGCUGUCAUGAUCGUGAUGGUGCCGUCGCUCAUCAGGCAGCAGGUCCUCAAGAGUGAAUGAAUGAGUGAUUGAAUGAAGGAUCUGCUUAGAUUUGGCUGCCACACUUCUUGGGACCCAGCUAGCUGGCCUUAAAGAUGGAGCAACAUGUGGUCUCUCUCAAGGUCUCUGGAACGUGCGCAUCGACCCCAGUAGCCUGUCCUUCAACAUGUGGAAGGAGAUCCCCAUCCCCUUUUAUCUCUCCGUCUACUUCUUUGACGUCAUAAACCCCAAUGAGAUCCUGAAGGGCGAGAAGCCGCAGGUGCGGGAGCGCGGGCCCUACGUGUACAGGGAGUUCAGGCACAAGACCAACAUCACCUUCAACAACAACGACACCGUGUCCUUCCUCGAGUACCGCACCUUCCAGUUCCAGCCCUCCAAGUCCCACGGCUCAGAGAGCGACUACAUCGUCAUGCCUAACAUCCUGGUCUUG
rnacentral:sRNA from 1 species